AGUAUAACCAUUUAUGAUCAGUCUG
rnacentral:piRNA from 1 species